AUCGUGCCUUCAAGGAUGAUACACCAACUCAUUGCAUAGUUCACACUGAAUUUAUUAUGUUGAUAAACAAGCAUCUUGUCUUUCGCUCCUAUCUGAUUCACCCC
rnacentral:snoRNA from 1 species